rnacentral:rRNA from 1 species
GAUGAACGCUGGCGGCGUGCUUAACACAUGCAAGUCGAACGAAGCAUUUAGGACAGAUUACUUCGGUUGGAAGUUCUUUAUGACUGAGUGGCGGACGGGUGAGUAACGCGUGGGUAACCUGCCUUGUACUGGGUGAUAGCAGCUGGAAACGGCUGGUCAUACCGCAUAAGCGCACAAUGUUGCAUUACAUGGUGUGAAAAACUCCGGUGGCAUAAGAUGGACCCGCGCCUGAUUAGCGAGGUGGUGAGAUAACAGCACACCAAGGCGGCGAUCAGGAGCCGAGCGGAUGAGCGGCCCCGUUAGAUUGGAGAUGCGACACAGACUCGAAUCGUACGCGAGGGAGGAGUAGAGUAUAUUACACAAUGGAGCAAGAUCUGACGCCGCGACGCCGCGUGAGAGAAGAAGUAAGUCGUUAUGUAAAGCUCUAUCAGAAGGGAAGAUAGUGACGGUAACUGACUAAGAAGCACCGGCUAAAUACGUG